CUUCACGUCAUUCCCAGGUGCCCUCAGCUCUAGUGUUGCCUCUGAUUCCCUGCUCUCCUAUCAUCCCACCAACGCUCAUCCCAUCACAGACCCAUGAGUGCAGCAGUGUCCUCUCUGGUCCUCCCUGUCUCCAGUGGUGAAGUUGGGGAAGGGUGGCCCCAGAUUGGAAAACAGCUCCAGAGGAAGGAUAUCGUUUGUUUGAGGUCACCCGGUUUGCGAAGAUGAAGUCAGAAUUUAGAGCCCAUGUUGUUCACUGAUGAGUUACGUCACUAACCACGUUCCAAAGUGAUGCUAGAUGGAAAGAAUGCUGGUGCUUCAGAGUCCUGGGGCAACCUUGAGAAGCUGCAGAGGAGUGGAUGACCACGAGCUGGGGCUUG
rnacentral:lncRNA from 1 species